UUUUUCUUCGUGUACAGCUGGAACUCCACCAUUUUUGUACCACCAUUUUUCUUUGCAACAACUUUUAAUUCAUGCGCACAAAUGUACCAUGCUCAGCUAUUGCCAGCUAUCAUUUGCACCACUGCUAGCUAUGUGAGAACUUUCCCUUGCCUAUAAAUAGGAGUGCUUCUGUGAUCAGUUUCAUUCACACAAUCAUCAUGGUUUUCUUCUCUUAGAAUAUAACAGCCACUCUCCUUGUUCUUUCUUUUCUUACAUUAGCUUCUUUCUUGAGCUACCACCACCUGCCAUUACUUCAAUUUCCUCAUCUUGGAACUCAAAUGCCAUCCAAAAACGGCAGCCAUGGUAGCAAUAGCAGUUCAUGUAGCAAUAGCAGUAGCGAGGCAGAAAGAGUGGGGUUAUAGGGACGCUGUUGUCCCAGCUUUCGUUCUUACGAUUUCUGCAACUGGGCACCGGCGACAAUGUGUGCUGUCCCGUAGUUCCGGCGAAAGGGGAGAGAUCGAGC
rnacentral:lncRNA from 1 species